GUGAAGAACGCAGCGAAAUGCGAUAAGUAAUGUGAAUUGCAGAAUUCAGUGAAUCAUCGAAUCUUUGAACGCACCUUGCGCCCUUUGGCUAUUCUGAAGGGCAUGCCUGUUUGAGUAUCGUGAACACCUCAACUCUCAUGGUCUGCCAUGAUGAGCUUGGACUUUGGGGGUCUUGCUGGCCUACUGUCAGCUCCUCUCAAAUGAAUCAGCUUACCAGUGUUUGGUGGCACCACAGGUGUGAUAACUAUCUACGCUUGUGGUUUUCUGCCAGGUAACCUCCAGUGAUGGAGGUUCGCUGGAGCUCACAAAUGUCUCUCCUCAGCGAGGACAGCUUUUUGAACGUUUGAUCUCAAAUCAGGUAGGACUACCCGCUGAACUUAAGCAUAUCAAUAAGCGGAGGA
rnacentral:misc_RNA from 1 species